UGACUUGUGGGUGCAUCUAGAUGCAGAAAAAUGAUAUGCCUAACAAGCAUAGAGAUGUUUGGGAUAGAGAGGCAUCAGUGCAAGGAUUAUUCAGUGUUUGAAGAGCACUACAUGCUUGUGUGUGCAAGUCAGAGCGUGGAACAUUGGUGUAGUUGCGAGGUGGCUCUUCGAGACUUGGUGAUUGCUGUUCCACUGGACAGUCGAGGCAUGAUAUGCUUGAAGCAAAGACAGCUAGAGUUUAGAUGCAUCAACGCAAACAGUAGCAAAGGAUGA
rnacentral:lncRNA from 1 species